rnacentral:lncRNA from 1 species
AGCACAACCAACUGCCAGGGCCUCCCUGCAACUGAGACUCCCCCAAGAGAGUUCCAAGGCGGCAGAACUGACCUCACUGUCGGAUGAGGACAGCGGGAAAGGCUCCCAGUCCCCCAGCCCACGUUCACAGCCUUCUUCGUCUUUCUCCUCCACUUCAGCUUCUUCCUUGGAGGCGGAGGCCGAUACCACCUUCCCAGGCUUAUGAGCUGAAAGUGUUGCUAAGUAAGCAGUUUUCUGCCUUUGUUAAUGAUGCAACAAAAGACAAUGGCUAUCAAUUU